rnacentral:misc_RNA from 1 species
GUCUGAUUCCCUCUUGCUCUACAGGUCUCGUUCUUCCUUCCCUUUAAAUCCAUAAGUCUCUCCUUUUCCUUUCUACUUCUGCUUCUAAGUCACUCUAAUGGCGGGUGUUUUCGAACUCCUGAGGCGCCUUUACCUCACCCUCUAUAACUGGACCGUCUUCGUUGGCUGGGCUCAGGUGUUGUUUCUUGCUGUGAGAACUUUGAAGGAAUCAGGCCAUGAACAUGUCUAUAAUUCUGUUGAGAAACCUCUUCUUCUCGCUCAGACUGCUGCCGUUUUGGAGAUUCUUCAUGGUCUAGUGGGCUUGGUGAGAUCUCCAAUAACUGCAACACUGCCACAGAUAGGUUCAAGAUUGUAUGUAACAUGGGGCAUCUUAUAUAGCUUCCCAGAGAUUCGAACUCACUUUCUUGUUAGUUCUUUGGUCAUCAGCUGGUCAAUCACUGAGAUAAUUCGAUAUUCUUUCUUUGGCACAAAAGAGGCUCUUGGUUUUGCACCUUCAUGGCUCAUGUGGCUCAGAUAUAGCACAUUUUUUUUGUUGUAUCCCACUGGUAUCAGCAGUGAAGUUGGUCUAAUAUAUUUUGCCUUGCCAUACAUCAAGAAAUCUGAGAAGUAUUGUGUAAGGAUGCCUAACACAUGGAACUUUUCUUUUGAUUACUUCUAUGCUGCAAUUCUUGUACUUGGAGUCUAUGUCCCAGGCAGUCCUCAUAUGUACAGCUAUAUGCUUGGGCAGAGAAAAAAA